rnacentral:rRNA from 1 species
AUUGAACGCUGGCGGCAUGCCUUACACAUGCAAGUCGAACGGUAACAGGUUAAGCUGACGAGUGGCGAACGGGUGAGUAAUGUAUCGGAACGUGCCCAGUCGUGGGGGAUAACUGCUCGAAAGAGCAGCUAAUACCGCAUACGACCUGAGGGUGAAAGCGGGGGAUCGCAAGACCUCGCGCGAUUGGAGCGGCCGAUAUCCGAUUAGGUAGUUGGUGAGGUAAAGGCUCACCAAGCCGACGAUCUGUAGCUGGUCUGAGAGGACGACCAGCCAAACUGGGACCUAGAAACGGGCCCGAACCCCAAGGGGGGGAAGAGGGGGGGAAAUUGGGAAAAAGGGGGAAAGCCUAACCCAGCCAGGCGGGGGGGAGGAAGAAGGCCUGCGGGUUGUAAACCGUUUUUGUAGGGGAAAAAAAGGUUCUGGCUAAAACCUGGGACUCAGGAGGGAACCGGAAAAAAAAGCACCGGCUAACUAGGG